UUAUAAUGUUUUUAUAACGUAGAUUACACGAUCAGUUUCUCAUCAAUCUGAUCCAUCAAUCUGGUAAAGAUUGACGGAAAAUUGAUCGUCUAACCCACGGAUUGAUGGACUGAUAUUUUUUUAAUAUGUACUUUUUAAAACCAUCAGCAUUCCGUCAAUCAGAUUGAUGGAUCAGAUUGAUAAAAACUGAUCGUGUAACCUACGUCUA